GUGGGGAAUAUUGGACAAUGGGCGCAAGUCUGAUCCAGCAAUGCCGCGUGGGUGAAGAAGGCCUUCGGGUUGUAAAGCCCUUUUGUACGGGAAGAAAUCAUUCGGGUUAAUACCCUGGGUGGAUGACGGUACCGUAAGAAUAAGCACCGGCUAACUUCGUGCCAGCAGCCGCGGUAAUACGAAGGGUGCAAGCGUUAAUCGGAAUUACUGGGCGUAAAGCGUGCGUAGGUGGUUCAGCAAGUUGAAGGUGAAAUCCCCGGGCUCAACCUGGGAACUGCCUCCAAAACUACUGAGCUAGAGUACGGUAGAGGGUAGUGGAAUUUCCUGUGUAGCGGUGAAAUGCGUAGAUAUAGGAAGGAACACCAGUGGCGAAGGCGGCCAUCUGGACCAGCACUGACACUGAGGCACGAAAGCGUGGGGAGCAAACAGGAUUAGAUACCCGAGUAGUCC
rnacentral:rRNA from 1 species